rnacentral:lncRNA from 1 species
ACAAUUUCAGUUCCUAUUCAAAUUCAAAUCUCAUUACAAGUAUGUUUAAAUGUCAUUUAAUAUUUAACUAUCAUCUCUAUACAUCAGUUACAAAUGAUUGUUUUUUUCAUUAGUAUUUUUUAGUUAUAAAGUCAUUUAUUGUAUUUUUAUUUGGCAUAAAUUAAUAAUGUUACACUUUACAAUAUCUUUUGAGCUAUAUUUGAGGUACCAUUGGAGGAGUUUUUACCCUAAUAUAACCUCCCAUUGAAGAUGCCCUUAGUCAGAACUCAGAAGCCAUAUCAAACAAUCCCUAAUUAUUUGUAACUGAGGGAGUGGACAAAGAGAGAGGCUCUGUUACCUUUGGUUUGUCAGCAAAAUCUCCAAUCUGGCCUUGAGCUUUGUAUAUUCUUCAGUCAAACAUACCUGUCCGAAAACUGAUUUCCAAUUUCAAUAAAUGGUAAAAAAAAGAAAAAAAAAAAACAACUUUUCUAAUUAAAAUUCACUUAUAGUUUACCGACGAUUCAUUGUUCAUUGCUGUGAGCUGUGAAUAUC